rnacentral:tRNA from 1 species
GCACUAGUAGCUCAGGAUUAGAGCGCCGGUCUUGUAAGCCGGAUGUCGAGGGUUAAAAUCCCCCCUACUGCU